rnacentral:rRNA from 1 species
UACGAAGGUAGCUAGCGUUGUUCGGAAUCACUGGGCGUAAAGCGCACGUAGGCGGACGUGUCAGUCAGGGGUGAAAUCCCGGAGCUCAACUUCGGAACUGCCUUUGAUACAGCACGUCUUGAGUCCGGAAGAGGUGGGUGGAAUUCCUAGUGUAGAGGUGAAAUUCGUAGAUAUUAGGAAGAACACCGGUGGCGAAGGCGGCCCACUGGUCCGGUACUGACGCUGAGGUGCGAAAGCGUGGGGAGCAAACAGG